UGUGUAUGUUCCAGGAACUGUGUUGUGGACUGUUAAUGCAAGAAUAAAUAUUUCACUAUCUCUGCCUGGAGAAGAGCUCAGAGUCUAGCUGGGAAGAUAGACAAGUGAAUUAUUAACUUUCCUAUAGUGUGAUAAGGCCUAGACAGGUUUGUACACAGUCCUGCGGGAAAACAGAUGAGGGAGUAAUCUGUGUCACUUGGGGGUGCUGGGAAGACAACAGAGAGAAAAACACAUUUGAGCGGGCCUUGGAGUCGGAGCACGAACUCUCAGGGGAGAGGCAGGGGCUGAGGACUGAGAAAAGGAAAUAGACACAAAGGCAGCGGGGGAGAAAAUAAUGAAAAAAAUUUGCAACACAAGUGUGUUUCAACAAAGAAAUUUUAUUUAAGAACAAAGAGAAAGCUUAGAGCACUUCCAAAGAGAGUUGGAAGAGGGUCCCUCUCAGGAAUGAGAAGAGGUGAGAGAGACCUAAUAACAGAUUUUUAACAACAAUGAAACUUCCUCAAAUGCUGGACAGAUUAACAGAGGCACCCUGAUUUCCUGGCACAUAGAAGACGUUGAGCUUGUUUAAUAGCAUCAGGCGAGGGAAGCUGAGCCGCAUCCCCUCUGCUGCACACCUCUGGGGCCUUCCUGUAUCCUGUUGACACUCAAUCUCAGCCAACCUGACAAUAAAAUGAUCCAUUUAUCCAGCAUGAGCAGGGAAAGGAGGAGAUACUGCCUCUUUUCAAGCUGCCUUCCACUCCCAGAGCCAGCCCAAUGCUUCCUCUGGGCUGAGCACACGCACACAGAAAGCAGUUCAUCAACAAUUUUUCAUGUUUUCUGUUAAAUUGGGUUUACUCUUCUUACAUGAAUUUUCCCCUGGAUACUUUUCCAAAGUAGCACAGAAAGUAUUUGAGGGGAGCUAAAACUUUUUAAUAAUAAACCGUGUGGUUAUAAAACCCUAGGAAGAUAAGACUACUGAGGCAGUUAGGAGAAAUUGCUGAAGCCAAAAAAUAAAAAUAAAAAAGAUACAGUAGAUUUGUCUAAAUCUUAAAACCAAACUUUUCAAAGGGCUAGCUUUAUCUAAUUGGGGAAUUUUAUACAUUCUUUCCGAGUCUACUCCACAAAAUAAUUAUUUUAACCAUCAACAGUUAUAAAGUUUUUAAAUAUUCUUAAUUCCUUUACUCCCUGGAAGUUUUUUUUUUUUUUUUUCCCUGCGGGGGAUAUUCCACUUCUUACUUAAAUAGCUUAUGACUUAUGGUCGUUUACUUAGAUGCCUUUAUUUCCUACUGAAAAUAAAUGAUUUCGCUGUGGACUAUGUUUUGUUGUCACUGUGGAGUUCUAGAAUUACCAGGCAGAAUUGUUAGUAAUAUUAAUUCAAAGAAACAUUCUGGCUGUAUUUUAUUAUUAUAUAUAAUAGCUUAAUGAU